CAAUAGCGUAUAUUAAAGUUGUUGCAGUUAAAAAGCUCGUAGUUGGAUUUGUGGUUCGUCCCGCCGGCUGGGUCAUUGACUUUUGCUGUGCUGGUCGUCCAUCCUUGGGUGGAAUCUGUGUGGCAUUAGGUUGUCGCGCGGGGGAUGCCCAUCGUUUACUGUGAAAAAAUUAGAGUGUUCAAAGCAGGCUUAUGCCGUUGAAUAUAUUAGCAUGGAAUAAUGAUAUAGGACCUUGGUACUAUUUUGUUGGUUUGCGCACUGAGGUAAUGAUUAAUAGGGACAGUUGGGGGUAUUCGUAUUCCAUUGUAAGAGGUGAAAUUCUUGGAUUUUUGGAAGACGAACUACUGCGAAAGCAUUUACCAAGGAUGUUUUCAUUAA
rnacentral:rRNA from 1 species